rnacentral:misc_RNA from 1 species
UGGAUCUUCUCCAGCCCAGGUACUAAAUAUGCUCUCUGCUUCUCAAUUGCUUCAAUUUUUAUUGACUUCUUGGUCUAAAAGCUUGAAUCAAUUGAUUUACCAAUAUGUUUACAGCGGUGGUAUUUUGCUAAAUAAACACAUCCUUUUAUAAGUUUUGAAGUGCAGAAAAUUAGUGUAAUAUCGUUUGUUGAACAACUUUAAUUCAUGGCUCUUUGGUAGUUGGGAAUAUGUUAAAUUGCUACGUCGGCUAACUGGGUAAGGAUAGAAAAAUUUUGUUUGGUGAUGUUCUGAUUAUACUUUUUGGUUUCUACAUCCGAGGCCUAAAACGGGUAGUUUUGGGAUGGAUGCAGAAAUCUUUCAUUUUGAGGCUUACAAAUAAAUGGGAUUUAGUUCUGUUCAUUAACUUUGCUUUCUUUCUACUCAAGUGAUAUCAUAUGUGAUUGGUAGAGGAGCUAGAUUGCUUAAACUUAUUGUUUUCCAGAUGCUUAAUAUCUAUAUUGUUAGGUGCUUUAUCCUUGGAUGGCAAACAUUUAAACUCGGUUAGACUUUUUAUUAUUAUAUUUUCUACUCCUUCAGAUCCAAGUUAUGCUAGCAUCUUCUAGAUGAUCCCGUUCGAUGAAUCUUUGCCCUCCUCUCUCUCUCUCAGGGUGCCUUUUACUAGAUAGAUUGGAUUCUUACAUCUUUUUUAGUUCAAAAACACAAAAUUAUUUGUUCCAUCGAAUCCAACUGCUCAAUCUUUAAGUUGGACAUUAUUGGCUUACCUAUAUAUAUGGGCUUUGGUUCUUAAUCAAUUAAUUUCCCAAUGCCUGGUUCACCUGUUAUUUAUUCUAAUGAUGUGAAAAAGGCUUUGAAUAAUUAGAUCUCGAAGAUAUGCAGUUCUCACCUUACUUUAUAUUGCAGAUUUGUUGUCAGAAACCUACUUUUUGUUGAUGGCCCCAUUUCAAUGUUAUUUUUAUGAAUUGAUAAACUAUGUAAUCGUUAUAUUAUUAGAUUCCGUGUUUUUCAGAGAAAUAUAUAUUGGUUUUUACCAAAUGAAGAUGAUAUUAGAUUUAAUGAAGAGAUUGUUAUUUCCCAACUCAUAUGCCAUUCUGAAUAUGAUGUCAGUUAAGGACAGACUGACUGAUACUUACAAAAUUUACUUACUUGGGAUUAUUUUCUAAUCACAUGGUUCAACAAUUGUUGGCAGAGUCAAGGGUUUGAAGUUUGA